rnacentral:rRNA from 1 species
GACGAACGCUGGCGGCGUGCUUAACACAUGCAAGUCGAACGGAAAGGCCCUGCUUUUGUGGGGUGCUCGAGUGGCGAACGGGUGAGUAACACGUGAGUAACCUGCCCUUGACUUUGGGAUAACUUCAGGAAACUGGGGCUAAUACCGGAUAGGAGCUCCUGCUGCAUGGUGGGGGUUGGAAAGUUUCGGCGGUUGGGGAUGGACUCGCGGCUUAUCAGCUUGUUGGUGGGGUAGUGGCUUACCAAGGCUUUGACGGGUAGCCGGCCUGAGAGGGUGACCGGCCACAUUGGGACUGAGAUACGGCCCAGACUCCUACGGGAGGCAGCAGUGGGGAAUAUUGCACAAUGGGCGGAAGCCUGAUGCAGCAACGCCGCGUGCGGGAUGACGGCCUUCGGGUUGUAAACCGCUUUCGCCUGUGACGAAGCGUGAGUGACGGUAAUGGGUAAAGAAGCACCGGCUAACUACGUGCCAGCAGCCGCGGUGAUACGUAGGGUGCGAGCGUUGUCCGGAUUUAUUGGGCGUAAAGGGCUCGUAGGUGGUUGAUCGCGUCGGAAGUGUAAUCUUGGGGCUUAACCCUGAGCGUGCUUUCGAUACGGGUUGACUUGAGGAAGGUAGGGGAGAAUGGAAUUCCUGGUGGAGCGGUGGAAUGCGCAGAUAUCAGGAGGAACACCAGUGGCGAAGGCGGUUCUCUGGGCCUUUCCUGACGCUGAGGAGCGAAAGCGUGGGGAGCGAACAGGCUUAGAUACCCUGGUAGUCCACGCUGUAAACGGUGGGUACUAGGUGUGGGGUCCAUUCCACGGGUUCCGUGCCGUAGCUAACGCUUUAAGUACCCCGCCUGGGGAGUACGGCCGCAAGGCUAAAACUCAAAGGAAAUGACGGGGCCCCGCACAAGCGGCGGAGCAUGCGGAUUAAUUCGAUGCAACGCGUAGAACCUUACCUGGGUUUGACAUGGAUCGGGAGUGCUCAGAGAUGGGUGUGCCUCUUUUGGGGUCGGUUCACAGGUGGUGCAUGGCUGUCGUCAGCUCGUGUCGUGAGAUGUUGGGUUAAGUCCCGCAACGAGCGCAACCCUUGUUCACUGUUGCCAGCACGUUAUGGUGGGGACUCAGUGGAGACCGCCGGGGUCAACUCGGAGGAAGGUGGGGAUGACGUCAAGUCAUCAUGCCCCUUAUGUCCAGGGCUUCACGCAUGCUACAAUGGCUGGUACAGAGAGUGGCGAGCCUGUGAGGGUGAGCGAAUCUCGGAAAGCCGGUCUCAGUUCGGAUUGGGGUCUGCAACUCGACCUCAUGAAGUCGGAGUCGCUAGUAAUCGCAGAUCAGCAACGCUGCGGUGAAUACGUUCCCGGGGCU